rnacentral:rRNA from 1 species
UCGUCAGCUCGCGUCGUGAGAUGUUGGGUUAAGUCCCGCAACGAGCGCAACCCCUAUUGUUAGUUGCUACCAUUAAGUUGAGCAUUCUAGCGAGACUGCCUGGGUUAACCAGGAGGAAGGUGGGGAUGACGUCAAAUCAUCAUGCCCCUUAUGUGUAGGGCUACACACGUGCUACAAUGGCAAGUACAGAGAGACGCAAAACCGUGAGGUCGAGCAAAUCCCUUAAAACUUGUCCCAGUUCGGAUUGUAGGCUGAAACUCGCCUACAUGAAGCCGGAGUUGCUAGUAAUCGCGAAUCAGAAUGUCGCGGUGAAUACGUUCCCGGGUCUUGUACACACCGCCCGUCACACCAUGAGAGUUGGCAAUACCCAACGUCCGUGAGCUAACCGCAAGGAGGCAGCGGCCUAAGGUAGGGUCAGCGAUUGGGGUGAAGUCGUAACAAGGUAGCCGUA